UACGGAGGAUGCAAGCGUUAUCCGGAUUUAUUGGGUUUAAAGGGUGCGCAGGUUGUUUGAUAAGUCAGUGGUGAAAGUCUGUCGCUUAACGGUAGGAUUGCCAUUGAUACUGUUGGACUUGAAUAUGGAUGAGGUAGGCGGAAUGUGUAGUGUAGCGGUGAAAUGCAUAGAUAUUACACAGAACACCGAUUGCGAAGGCAGCUUACUAAUCCAUCAUUGACGCUGAGGCACGAAAACGUGGGGAUCAAACAGGA
rnacentral:rRNA from 1 species